rnacentral:rRNA from 1 species
AACGAACGCUGGCGGCAUGCCUAACACAUGCAAGUCGAACGAGACCUUCGGGUCUAGUGGCGCACGGGUGCGUAACGCGUGGGAACCUGCCCCUAGGUUCGGCAUAACUCCCCGAAAGGGGUGCUAAUACCGGAUAAUGUCUUCGGCCCAAAGAUUUAUCGCCUUUGGAUGGGCCCGCGUUGGAUUAGCUAGUUGGUAGGGUAAAAGCCUACCAAGGCGACGAUCCAUAGCUGGUCUGAGAGGAUGAUCAGCCACACUGGGACUGAGACACGGCCCAGACUCCUACGGGAGGCAGCAGUGGGGAAUAGUGGACAAUGGGCGAAAGCCUGAUCCAGCAAUGCCGCGUGAGUGAUGAAGGCCUUAGGGUUGUAAAGCUCUUUUACCCGGGAUGAUAAUGACAGUACCGGGAGAAUAAGCUCCGGCUAACUCCGUG